rnacentral:lncRNA from 1 species
CUAGCUUCUCUUCUUCCCCAGCCUCAGUCACAACAAUAUCUCUCAGGAAGGGAUCCUGUACCUGCUGGAGACUCUGCCUUCCUACCCUAAUAUCCAAGAGGUCUCUGUGAGUCUGAGCUCUGAGCAGAUCUUCCGAAUGUGCUUCUCCAAAAAGGAAGGAGCCGGGACAUCGCUGAGGCUAUGUGAAUGCAGCUUCAGCCCAGAACAAGUAUCCAAAUUGGCUUCCAGCCUGAGCCAGGCCCAACAGCUCACAGAGCUCUGGCUGACCAAGUGUCACUUGGACCUGCCACAGCUGACCAUGCUCCUGAACCUGGUGAAUCGGCCAACAGGGUUGCUG